rnacentral:rRNA from 1 species
UACGGAGGGUGCAAGCGUUGCUCGGAAUCACUGGGCGUAAAGGGUCCGCAGGCGGACAUGUAAGUCGGGUGUGAAAGCCCAGGGCUCAACCCUGGAACUGCAUUCGAAACUGCAUGUCUUGAGUACGGGAGAGGGAAGCGGAAUUCCUGGUGUAGAGGUGAAAUUCGUAGAUAUCAGGAGGAACACCCGUGGCGAAAGCGGCUUCCUGGCCCGAUACUGACGCUCAUGGACGAAAGCGUGGGGAGCAAACAGG